CUCUUGAGAACCGCGAGAAGCGGUCAGCCUACCGGGCUGAUCGACAGUGCAUCUCUUAAAAGGACGUUUAUUCCUCGGCUCUUGCCGAAAAACUCAACAGGCGGGUGCGUUCUGGUAGCGAUAUACCGUGAACGUUCGCCCCCGCC
rnacentral:ncRNA from 12 species